GUUAGGUCUUUCGCAACACAGGAGUCCAAAAGCCUUAAACAUUCUUUAUUUUAUUGUAUAAAUAGCAUCAACUUGCAUAUUCAUCAAAAUAGCCAUAAUGGAAUUUCCCAAUAUAUUCAGUAUUUCUAGUCAUAAUAAUGAGGUUGCUGUCAACCAUUACUGAGUUAGUCUGCAAGAAGGUCUCUAGAAACAGUUGUUUUGCUCAAUUGCCUGUCCUGGUUUAAGUGUACUAUUAUUGUCAUGUUACCCUUAAUAACCUAUGGUUAAUUAUUCUUUUCUACUCUAGGCACAAGGCCCAAAAUUUUUAGGGAGGGGGCCAGUUGAUUAGAUCAACCCCAGUAUGCAACUGGUACUUAAUUUAAUGACCUCCAAAAGGAUGAACGGCAAAGUUGACCUUGGCGGAAUUUGAACACAGAACAUAAAGACAGACGAAAUACCAUUAAGCAUUAUGCCUGGCGUGCUAACAUUUCUGCCAGUUCGCCACCUUCUAUGGUUAAUUAUUCCGUCACAUGGCCAGUAAACAAUAUAACAAUUCAGGAUGGUGGAUUGGCAGAACUACAAGAAAUAAGUACAAGCAUGGGUGUGGGUAAGAAGAUUGCUUCUCAACCACAUGGUUCUGCAUUCAGCUCUACAGCAUGAUACUUUUCCUAUAGCCCCAGGUUGAUCAAAGCCUUGUGAGCGGAUUUGAUAGAUGGAAACUGGAAGAAACCCAUCAUGUGUAUAUGUACAUGUGUGUGUGUGUGUGUGUGUGUGUGUGUGUGUGUUUUACUGCUUCCUUGCCUUGACAUCACAUGAUAGUUGUAAAAACAAAUGUUACCAUAAUGCAAGCAGUGUCCGUCAUUUCCAGCCUUCCAUGAAAACAUGUCUCAUCAUGGGAAAAUAGUACCUUAUUUGGAAACAAGUGAAGGUUGUUGACAGGAAAGGCAUCCAGCUGUAGAAAAGUGGAUGUUACAAUGAUGGUGAUAACAAAAUUGAACUGGAUAUUUUGUAGUAUUUGUUCUGGCUCUUUGUGUUUUAAGAUCGUCCCAGGACAGUGGCUUGAUAAGAUUGUCAGAGUGUCAUGUGGUAUCUGUACUAACCUUUUGUGUUCUGAUAGCAGUGACCAUGAUGAGACUGGUACCAAGCUGUAUUGGCCCUAAAGCAUAGAUCUUUCCAUUGGACAAUAUCAGUGACAUGAUGAGGAGAAAUUUGCAAAUAUGGACAACAGCUUGUCUUAAAAAAAAAAAACUCAAAAGAACCCCAAACAUUUCAGCAAAGACUUGCCCAAACUACUGCCUACAGUUUCUGUCUACCAAAUCCACUUAUAAGGUUUUUGAUCAGCUUGGGGUUAUAGUAGAAAAAACUUGUCUGAUGUGCCAUGCGGUAGGACUGAACUUGAAACUAUGUGGUCAGGAAGCAACCAGAUAGUCAUACCUACACCUUAUGUCAAUAUAAAAAGUUUAAUUUAUAUAUAGUCCAACCCAUACUAGCAUGUAAAGUGGACGUUAAACGACGAUGAUGAUGAUGAUGAUGAUGAUGAUAUAAAUGGAAACU